GCUACCAUGAAGAGCAAAUGCACGAUUCACAAGUUUCGUUUCGCCAUUUUCAUUGUUGAUUUCGCAAGCGUCGAGCAAUCCCACGUGACCUCCUUUGGAUCAGUGAAAAGUGAAAAUUACUCGCGUCAUGAACAUAUAUGUUCAUCUCAGCGCAAAUCACGUUUUGCAUGCUAUAGAAGGAGGGGGGAUCAAUACUCUUCCUUUCGUGUUUUGAUAUCUUGUUGUUUUGCUACUCUCACUUCGGAGUUCGGAUGGUGUCUAGCAACGUUGGGUACCUCGUUUCUUGUGUGUGUGAGCGAGUGGUUGCUGUUUACGAUGUGUUCAUAUAUCGCUUUGUAGUGCUGUAAUGUGCAAAUUAGCGGACUUUAUAGCGGCUCUCUAUUUUCCGUCGUUGUCUUUCGAGCAGCGCCUGUUGUUCCGGUAAAAAUCGAGUUGAAUGAAUCGCCACAGCCCCAACGUAUAUCGCGCAGUGUUGACCAAGUCAAGCAGGAAUUCUGGCAUGGUAUGUGGCUGCACGAAGGAUUCCGAAAAAGAAAAACAACAACAUGGCUAAUAGGAUGUUGCUGCCCAGGGAGUCCUGGCGAAGAGGUUUACUCAUUCCAGAAGCAAGAAUUGUAUCAUUGUAAGGCGAAUGGAAAUAAACUGACAUCGACUGA